AUGCAUGAGUUGCAGCAAACCAAAUCAAAAGAGGGUUGUGGCAAUGUGCAUUUACCACAUGAACAUGUGAUCACUAAGAAUGUCCAUGUUGAAAAUAAUCUUGCAGUGCAGCAAGGUGGCCCCGAACCAAGUUUACGACUUCACCAAGUCACUGACCAGGAUAAAGUUGAAGUCAUGUUGUAUUCGACGAACUUGAGAAACAAAGACAAACUUGUGGCCAAAGGAACUUUAGAGAGUAAAGAGAAAACAUAUGUGGUUGGAGGAAACAUGCUUGGAGUGCAAUACGUUGCAGUUCGUGUUCGCGGCUGUACAUAUCUAGGAGAUGAGAAACUAGUUAGACCAUAUGAAAAAUUCCAAACUGUAAGGGAUGCUAUGGGUUCUGUUAUUGCUUGGCCUCGCUCACAUGUAAGUAUGUUCCCAUUCAAGCAAUGUGUAUGCUCCAAUCUGCACAUGUGUGAUAUGUUAUUUAUCAGGAAUCUUCCUUUUUUAGGUAAAAAUAGUUAA
rnacentral:rRNA from 1 species